rnacentral:rRNA from 1 species
CAGCCGCCGCGGUAAUACGGAGGGGGCUAGCGUUGUUCGGAAUUACUGGGCGUAAAGCGCACGUAGGCGGCUUGGUAAGUUAGAGGUGAAAGCCCGGAGCUCAACUCCGGAAUUGCCUUUAAGACUGCCGAGCUAGCAGGUGAGAGAGGUAAGUGGAAUUCCGAGUGUAGAGGUGAAAUUCGUAGAUAUUCGGAAGAACACCAGUGGCGAAGGCGGCUUACUGGCUCAUACUGGACGCUGAGGUGCGAAAGCGUGGGGAGCAAACAGGAUUAGAUACCCGCGUAGUCCCUGUCUCUUAUAC